rnacentral:lncRNA from 1 species
GAAAGAACAGCAUGGUUUUUUCUAAGUAGAAAUUAUUAUCCAACUGAAGUAUAAUACUAAUUAAAUGUACCAAUAAAUAUUAAUUCUCAACAUAAAAUAUACUGUUGCAGCCUCCGUGGCAUUCUCAUUAAAACAGGGAAUAAACCAAGACUGUGAGACCUGAUACUAUGUGACAUUUCUAGUUAAUCCACAGAGAAAAGCACUUAAACAAGAAAUAUGAUUAUUAGAAAGAGAAGCAAACCGUAAUUUAUAAGUAAAAGACCCAUUUAUUAAACAAUUACACAAAUCACUAGCUCUCUGGAUCAUAAAUAGCCACUGAAACAAUGCAAUGCUAAAAUCUAAAUAUAAGCAAAACUUGACAAAAUAGCCUCUGACAAAGCUAAUGUGUAGAAUCUACAUAAAGGAAACACUAGACCUUUGAUGAGGUGCUUAGACUAGCCCUUGAAUACACUGUAACUUCUGGAAAGCUAGAAUAUAUUAAAUCAUCAAUUAUUUCCACAUCCAUUCUGUCAAAUGCACAUGGAGGCUAUUAUUUGAAAUAUCAGAUUGUGAUUAUAAAAAUAACAGCAAAGAAGAAAUGAAACUGUCCAAGAAAAGCAUUGAAAAUAAGAUCAUUAUUAGAAAUGUAAGCAGUAGACAAUCUCUGUACAUGACUCCAAACAUGACAUAUCUUAUCUAUUUUAAAGAAAUAUAAACUUGUAAAAUGCUGAUCUCAAUUCCUGGUUUAUAACAGAGUAAACUCAAUUAUAGAGAAGUAACCUAUACAGAGGAAUUAAAAUAUUGAGAUAUCUGGUAAAAAUAUAUAAAAAUAUAGAAAAUUAUAUAUUGCUCUAUGGAAUACAUGUUUUAUAGUAAACAGCAAAUUACAGACAGUAAAAUGCCAGUUUUAAAGUCCUGGUUCAUAGCAAUAUGAAAAUGAUUGAAAAAAUUCAGUAAAAUAUUAGAUGCAUAUGUAUUCACAUGCUAUAUAGCAAUUUACCUAAAUUCAAAGGGGUACAGUGUGUAUUUAUAAUGGUAGAAUUUCAUAGAGAGUUCAGGUGAGUACUUGCAUAUAGCUAGGUCAAUUCCCAAAACUAAGAAACAAAAACAAAGAACACAAUUUAAAAUAGAUACAAUGACAGAGAUAUAUUCACCUAUACUUCAAGUCAUACAGUAAAGUGUAUCCUGUUAUUAACAAUUAUUUCUUAAGAGAUUGUUAUAGUCAUGAAAAUAAUGCCUUCAUAGUCAUAUGAAGAAAAAUGAGGUUAUUCUUAAGAUUCUUUAAACACUAAGUACAAAAUGAACUAUGUUAGCCCUAGGACAUGCUCACGCUUAUUUUCUCUGUAAAUUUGUUUUGUUUUGUUUUGUUUUGAGAGGGUCUUAGCAUGUAUAUAGAUCUGGAUGUCCUGGACCUUUCUGUGUAGACCAGGCUGUCCUAGAAAUCACAAGCACCCUUCUGCCUCUGCUUCCCAAGGGCAGAGACUAUGGGCAUGCACCACCACACCAUCCCGCUUUUCUGUAAAUUUUUAAUGAAAUGGCUUUUCAAAUGAGCUCAUGGAAUGCUUAUGAGGUAGGACAUGUCAAUUGCAUUUUAAACUGCUUAUUGGCCAGUCUUUUUAAAUUUAGGUUCUCAAUUGGGAAGAGGAGGGACAAGGCAUCAACUACUCAGUAGAUUGCAACAGUAAAAAGGAAGAAAGAUUAGUAUGAAAUAGAAAGCAUGUCUAUAUGUCAUGCAGUUU